rnacentral:lncRNA from 10 species
AGAGACGCUAGGCCGGCACUGCCUAGGUGGGCCGGGCGGUGCGAGGGUCGCCUUUCAGCCUUUACCUCUACCCACUGAAAUGGAGUAGGUCGGUGAGCGCCGAUCUGCUGGAGAAUCUCAUUAUCCCAUCGGCGCUCUGCCUGCUCCUGGCCUCCAAGCCUCUGAAGCCCCUCGGGUUUCAGCUGCCGGCUACCCUCGAGCCCGUGGUGCCCACGAGAGAGGCGACUUUACGUCAGCGGCCCUGGGCUGAGAUUUGAGAACGCGACCAAGUGGAGAAUGUUGGAGCCAGAUUUUAAAAUCCUUGUCUUCCUUCUGCGUGCUACUUGAUCUAAAUGAGAUACGGCAAAGUCACAGAACCUGUUUUUAUGUUUUUGCCUGAUUCAUACGGGCUUCUCCGGUGAAGAUGGGCCUGAAGUAACGCUUGGGUUGCUUCUGACGUUAUAACUCAUCCUGUAGCUGCAGCAACCGUGGUCCUUGCAACCUCAUAAAAAUGUUGCCAGCAUUGUUUCGAUAGUGCUGCUUAAUUCUUGGAAGGCCUCUUUGCUUUCUUCCCUGAGGUUCUUCGGACUUCACACAUUCCAGCAGUAGCUCUCUCAGCUCCUGUCCUGCACAGCUUUGAAGUGCUGGAUAUAGUGGAAGUCAGGCUGUGUUGGUAUCCUGAC